UGAAUAAUUAUUUCAGUUGCAUUGAAUAAGCAUUCAGAAAUGUUUUUGUUACUAAAAUUGUACUAACCAAUCUCACCAGAGUGUCUGACUUAAAACAAAAACUAUAACAAUAAAAGUCAAUAAUAAAAUGAUAUUGCUCUGGAUUUUUUCUAUAUAUUCUUCCUAGAGGCAGAAGUCAGUUUGAUGUUGACUUCAGGUGACAUAUAUUGGUUUAUCUACUUGGCCACUAUCUUUAAAAAGCAAUGAUUUACAUCCUGCCUUUCUCCAAUUUGCUCCUCUAAUUGAUAUAGCCUUGGAUGAGAAGAAUCCAUUACUAGCCACAAGUGCGGUUUUAAGGGAAGUGGAACUGCAGAAAGCAUUAAACUAACAAAUAGAAUGGAACUAUUUUAUUUAUUUACAACAAUCCUGACAGAAGUUGGAUAUACAUUACACAAGCCUUUAGAAGCUGAUGGAAGACAAGGCUUAAAUUUGAAGCAGUCCCUGUGAAAUAACAAAGGUACAUCCUCAAACAACAGCCUCCAAGAGACUGACAAAGCAAUCUUAGCAUGCUGGUUGAAGAGCCUCCAGGUUCCUGUAGAGCCGAAAAUUGCCUGCUCCUUGCCUGUCAUGUGGUAAGUUCCAAG
rnacentral:lncRNA from 1 species